rnacentral:rRNA from 1 species
UUUAUGGAGAGUUUGAUCCUGGCUCAGGAUGAACGCUAGCGGUGUGCUUAAAGCAUGCAAGUCGAACGAGAUCCCUUGGAUUCGUCUGGGGGUGAAAGUGGCGAACGGGUGAGUAACGCGUUGGUGAUCUGCCCCGGAGUGGGGAAUAACUAUUGGAAACGAUAGCUAAUACCCCAGAUGUCUUCGUGUUUGGAAAGCGAUGACUAAAGUUCAGGCGCUCCGGGAGGAGCCUGCGUCCCAUCAGCUUGUUGGU